rnacentral:lncRNA from 1 species
UUUUUCUUUUCGUUGCACAUAUUUUUUAAAAGUAUAGUUGAUUUACAAUGUUGUACCAAUUUCUUCUGUACAGCAAAGUGACCCAGUCAUACAUACACAUGGGUUCACAGGUUCUUUUUCUCUUAUUAUCUUCCAUUAUGUUCUAUCCCAAGAGACUGGAUACAGUUCUCUGUGCUAUGCUCUCGGACCGCAAUGCUUAUCCAGUCUAAAUAUAAUAGUUUGCAUCCUCUAGUGCCAAACUCCCAGUCCAUCAAACUCCCUCCCCCCUAUUUUUCCUUUAUUGAUUGUGCUAAGAAAACAUUACUGCAUCCAAGGUCAUAAAGAUUUACUCCUAUAUUUUCUUAUAAGGAAUUUUCUUUUCUUUUCUUUUCUUUUUUUGUCUUUUUGCCUCUUCUAGGGCCACUCCCGCGGCAUAUGGAGGUUCAAUCUCUGGUCUCACUCAGUGGGUUAAGGAUCCAACACUGCCGUGAGCUGUGGUGUAGGUUUCAGACAUGGCUCGAAUCUGACGUUGCUGUGGCUGUGGCAUAGGUCAGCUGGCUACAGCUCCGAUUUGACCUCUAGCCUGGGGACUUCACAUGCCAGGGAUGCGGUCCUAAAAAGACACACACGCAAAAAAACCCCAAAACCCCAAACGUGGUCUUCUGAAGACAUAGACUAUGACUAUUAAGAGGUGGAAUAUGGCAGCUCCUUUGCUAAUGCUGCUCUUACAGUAUCCAUAUUUCCAGCUCUAAUACAAUUGACUUCAUGUCUGUCUUUCACAUCACACUGACUUGAGGCAUGGACUCUUGCAUUUUCACCCAAGAAUGUGACACACACUGUGUACCCAGUAAAUAUACUCAACUGCUGGGUGAUCCUGGCAAGUGAUUUAACCUCUCUGUUGAUUUAGUUUCCUCAUUCAUAAAACAGCAGUGAAAACAGUCCCUAUGUCACAGGGAUGAGAAGAUGUCUAUAAAGUGCUUACUAUAGCAUCUGGCACAUAUAAAGUGAUAUUAGUGGUACUAAUAUCAGCUGAUAUUGUUAUCACCAUUAUCAUCAUGAUUUUUAUUACUCUAUUCUCCUUCUAAAACCACCAGUGGAAACGAACAUCAGUCACUUAUUCACAUAUCACCACGCAUGUUCCCAAGUCCCAAGUAACUGAUGGUUACUUUUGUCUGCCAUUUUUUUUUUCAUGGUCCAGGCAUAUUUUUAAAAGACUAAGUCACUAGGAAGGACAUAUGGAAGUAGCGGGUCUGGGACAGAGAUUCUUAACCAUUCUGAACAAGAGAGAAACUGCAUCAGAAGCUCCCUGAGGCUUUUUCAAACCACACCCAUGGCACCUCCAACUCCACAAUCCAAAUGUAUCACUCUCUCUCUGCCCUGAAAGGGAGGUUUAUUUCUGCAGUUGAGAAUCACUGGCAAAGACAGUUGCUGUUGAUGAAGGUAUGUUGUGUUUGUGAACUAGCAGGUGGAAGCUAAAAAGAAAAAAAAAAAAAAGUUGACAACCACUGUUGCCUAGGGCAACUUAUCACAUUUUGCAGGAUGUGGGUUUAGGGCAUGCUGUUCCAUCGUUUACCUCACUCUUUUCAGUCCCAGCUACUUUUAGGGAAAAAAAAAAUGGGGGAGGGGAGAGGGGAAGAGAACAAAUAAGAGUAAGCAAUGGUAAUUUGAAGUUGUUUGUUUUUGUUGCUAGAGGGCUAAUAAAACAUUCUGGGUCUAAGUUUAAUUACGCAUUAAAAUCAGAUUUCAAGGACAGACCCCACAGUAAUAUAAAAUGUUUUCCCACACUUUUUUUCUUUAGCUUCUGUCAUAAAGCAUCUAAUAUUC